UUCCGGUUGAUCCUGCCGGACCCCACUGCUAUCGGGGUGGGACUUAGGCAUGUUAGUUUGUGUCUUCGAGCUAUGGUGAAGACACGGCGGACGGCUCAGUAACACGUAGCUAACCUGCCCUCGGGACGGAGAUAACCCCGGGAAACUGGGGCGAAUACUCGAUAGGUGAGAAGGCCUGGAAUGGUUUCCCGCCUAAAGGAUGUGGAACCAUGCUUCCAUUGUCGCCCGAGGAUGGGGCUGCGGCCGAUCAGGUAGUUGGUGAGGUAACGGCUCACCAAGCCUUUAACCGGUACGGGCCGUGAGAGCGGGAGCCCGGAGAUGGGCACUGAGACAAGGACCUAGGCCCUACGGGGCGCAGCAGUCGCGAAAACUCCGCAAUGCGCGCAAGCGCGACGGGGCUACCCCGAGUGCCGUCCGCUGAGGAUGGCUUUUCUCCGGUGUAAUGAGCCGGAGGCAAUAAAGGGAGGGCAAGAAUGGUGUCAGCCGCCGCGGUAAAACCAACUCCCUGAGUGGUGGGGAUGAUUAUUGGGCUUAAAGCGUCCGUAGCCGGCUCAGUAAGUCCUCCGUUAAAUCCAACGAUCCAAUCGUUGGGCUGCGGGGAAUACUGCAGAGCUAGGGGGCGGGAGAAGCCGACGGUACUCUUGGGGUAGGGGUGAAAUCCUAUAAUCCCAGGAGGACUACCAAUGGCGAAGGCGGUCGGCUAGAACGCGCCCGACGGUGAGGGACGAAAGCUGGGGGAGCGAUCCGGAUUAGAUACCCGAGUAGUCCCAGCUGUAAACGAUGCAGGCUAGCUGUUGGGGAGGCUACGAGCCUUCCCAGUGGCGCAGGGAAACCGUUAAGCCUGCCGCCUGGGUAGUAAGGUCGCAAGACUGAAACUUAAAGGAAUUGGCGGGGG
rnacentral:rRNA from 1 species